rnacentral:rRNA from 1 species
UGGCUCAGAGUGAACGCUGGCGGUAGGCCUAACACAUGCAAGUCGAACGGCAGCACAGUAAGAGCUUGCUCUUAUGGGUGGCGAGUGGCGGACGGGUGAGGAAUACAUCGGAAUCUACCUUUUCGUGGGGGAUAACGUAGGGAAACUUACGCUAAUACCGCAUACGACCUUCGGGUGAAAGCAGGGGACCUUCGGGCCUUGCGCGGAUAGAUGAGCCGAUGUCGGAUUAGCUAGUUGGCGGGGUAAAGGCCCACCAAGGCGACGAUCCGUAGCUGGUCUGAGAGGAUGAUCAGCCACACUGGAACUGAGACACGGUCCAGACUCCUACGGGAGGCAGCAGUGGGGAAUAUUGGACAAUGGGCGCAAGCCUGAUCCAGCCAUACCGCGUGGGUGAAGAAGGCCUUCGGGUUGUAAAGCCCUUUUGUUGGGAAAGAAAAGCAGUCGGCUAAUACCCGGUUGUUCUGACGGUACCCAAAGAAUAAGCACCGGCUAACUUCGUGCCAGCAGCCGCGGUAAUACGAAGGGUGCAAGCGUUACUCGGAAUUACUGGGCGUAAAGCGUGCGUAGGUGGUUGUUUAAGUCUGUUGUGAAAGCCCUGGGCUCAACCUGGGAAUUGCAGUGGAUACUGGGCGACUAGAGUGUGGUAGAGGGUAGUGGAAUUCCCGGUGUAGCAGUGAAAUGCGUAGAGAUCGGGAGGAACAUCCAUGGCGAAGGCAGCUACCUGGACCAACACUGA